GACGAACGCUGGCGGCGGGCUUAACACAUGCACUUUGAAGGGAAAGGCCCUGCUUUUGUGGGGUGCUCGAGUGGCGAACGGGUGAGUAACACGUGAGUAACCUGCCCUUGACUUUGGGAUAACUUCAGGAAACUGGGGCUAAUACCGGAUAGGAGCUCCUGCUGCAUGGUGGGGGUUGGAAAGUUUCGGCGGUUGGGGAUGGACUCGCGGCUUAUCAGCUUGUUGGUGGGGUAGUGGCUUACCAAGGCUUUGACGGGUAGCCGGCCUGAGAGGGUGACCGGCCACAUUGGGACUGAGAUACGGCCCAGACUCCUACGGGAGGCAGCAGUGGGGAAUAUUGCACAAUGGGCGGAAGCCUGAUGCAGCAACGCCGCGUGCGGGAUGACGGCCUUCGGGUUGUAAACCGCUUUCGCCUGUGACGAAGCGUGAGUGACGGUAAUGGGUAAAGAAGCACCGGCUAACUACGUGCCAGCAGCCGCGGUGAUACGUAGGGUGCGAGCGUUGUCCGGAUUUAUUGGGCGUAAAGGGCUCGUAGGUGGUUGAUCGCGUCGGAAGUGUAAUCUUGGGGCUUAACCCUGAGCGUGCUUUCGAUACGGGUUGACUUGAGGAAGGUAGGGGAGAAUGGAAUUCCUGGUGGAGCGGUGGAAUGCGCAGAUAUCAGGAGGAACACCAGUGGCGAAGGCGGUUCUCUGGGCCUUUCCUGACGCUGAGGAGCGAAAGCGUGGGGAGCGAACAGGCUUAGAUACCCUGGUAGUCCACGCUGUAAACGGUGGGUACUAGGUGUGGGGUCCAUUCCACGGGUUCCGUGCCGUAGCUAACGCUUUAAGUACCCCGCCUGGGGAGUACGGCCGCAAGGCUAAAACUCAAAGGAAUUGACGGGGCCCCGCACAAGCGGCGGAGCAUGCGGAUUAAUUCGAUGCAACGCGUAGAACCUUACCUGGGUUUGACAUGGAUCGGGAGUGCUCAGAGAUGGGUGUGCCUCUUUUGGGGUCGGUUCACAGGUGGUGCAUGCCUGUCGUCAGCUCGUGUCGUGAGAUGUUGGGUUAAGUCCCGCAACGAGCGCAACCCUUGUUCACUGUUGCCAGCACGUUAUGGUGGGGACUCAGUGGAGACCGCCGGGGUCAACUCGGAGGAAGGUGGGGAUGACGUCAAGUCCUCAUGCCCCUUAUGUCCAGGGCUUCACGCAUGCUACAAUGGCUGGUACAGAGAGUGGCGAGCCUGUGAGGGUGAGCGAAUCUCGGAAAGCCGGUCUCAGUUCGGAUUGGGGUCUGCAACUCGACCUCAUGAAGUCGGAGUCGCUAGUAAUCGCAGAUCAGCAACGCUGCGGUGAAAACGUUCCCGGGGCU
rnacentral:rRNA from 1 species